rnacentral:rRNA from 1 species
UACAGAGGUCCCAAGCGUUGUUCGGAUUCAUUGGGCGUAAAGGGUGUGUAGGUGGCGCCGUAGGUCGGGUGUGAAAUCUCGGGGCUUAACUCCGAAACUGCAUUCGAUACUGCGGUGCUUGAGGACUGGAGAGGAGACUGGAAUUCAUGGUGUAGCAGUGAAAUGCGUAGAGAUCAUGAGGAAGACCAGUGGCGAAGGCGGGUCUCUGGACAGUUCCUGACACUGGGACACGAAGGCCAGGGGAGCAAACGGG